UUUCUAGGAUGAAUCAAACUAGCUCACUAGGACUGCCUAUGAAAACACAUGAACAUCCAAGAAAC